GACACAAGGCAGAGCUCUCAGGGCAGGUCUGAAAAAUGCAAGGAAGACCUGAUACUCGAGGCAGCGCUGAGACUUGGGAGCAUGGCACGAGACUUGGAAACAAAGCAUAACAAGAAAGAGCUUAUGAGCUCUUGUUGAUCUAGAGAACCUCACAAAAAAUCUUGAACGUAGACCGAAGAAGCUCAGAACCUCCACUGGGUCCAUAGUUAGUGGAGUCAUGUUGUCACGGUGUGCUCUCGGAGGACUGAACCCAAAUGGAACAGCAGGCUUCUCUGUCACAUAGGUUGGUUGCACCAACUCAAGCCAGAAGUUGUGGACAGCAGGCGUGCAACUCGACACAGGAGACAUAAACAAGAGGUUCGACACAGGAACACCAACAGAGCCUCGGAGAAGUAACUGAGCCACACCAUCAGACAAUUUAUUCUCUCCAAUACAAUGAUUCUGCUAAGGCACUUCUUCUUCUGACUUUUAAUGGCAGUCAGCAGUCCAACUUAAAGGUGCAUUACCACCACCAACUGGACUGGAGUGUGGUGUGGAGAGUUGGGAAUAAAACCCCUGCUAGUUCUUUAUCAAAUGAAAACUAAAUUACCCCCGAAAGCUCUAAUAGAUUGUAAAUAAUGAAAGACAAGAUAGUAAAUGAAAUUUAAAGCCACUUCCAUAACUUAGUUUUUAAAUGAAAACUAUAAACCCCCAAAGAUAAUAGUGCAGCCUGCAUUUGUUUUCUUUCAACCUUGUAUGCUUCUCAUUGUAAUGGAAUGUGUUCAACUGUUUCCUAAUGAUGACAGAACCUACACACCCCAGAGUGAUAUCUUCCAAAAUAAUAUAAGGAAUAAUUAAGGAUAGUAUGCCCAAUUCUAAGUCGAGUCAAUAUAAUUCCUCCCCUUCUUGUUUUACCCCCUUCUCCCAUCAAUCCAACAGUUUUGUGUAUUCUGUAAAGGUGUCCCUCCUUAUGCCCAUUAUCCCACAGGUCUUGCCACAACCCCCUAAUUCUUAGCCCCACCAACCCCUUAGCUUCUGAAUUGCUAAGUGGAAGGUCCAUAUCCACAGAUGAACUCUUAGCAGCUUUUUUUGGCCAAACAAUCAACCCGCUCAUUCCCCUCAACACCUCUAUGUGCAGGAACCCAUAAGCAGAGACAUGUAGACCAAUACCUUGAAUAUGAAUUAAAAUUUGAAGAGCUUCCAGCAGUAAAUCUGGCCUGCUGCUAGAAUGACCUGUUUUAAAACUAAUCAAAACCAAAAACAGACUCUGAACAAAUGACAACUUUGCAAGGACAAAUUUCCUCCAUCCACCGUAAGCCCACAAUGAUGGCAACCAAUUCUGCGGUAUAUACUGAUAAAUGAAGAAUAAGGUGUUUCUUUAUUGUUACCUGUAAUCCAGGCACGAAAACAGCCACACCAACAUUCCCUGUUAAAUUAUUUUUUGAUCCAUCAGUAAAAAUGGGAUGCUCAACAGUUGUGGCAAGGAUUGAAUGCCAUAACAAGGUUAAAUCUUGUGUCAUAGGGGACAGCAGAGGUUCACUCGCAGAUGAGCUCAAUGGCUUCUAUGCUCACUUUGACCACCAGAACUGGGAGGAACCAUCAUGCACCCCCCAUGUCUCCCGAUGAUCCUUCGGUCUCAGUAUCGGAAAAUGAUGUGCCUUCAAGACAGCAAAUCCAAGGAAAUCAUCCAGUCCAGGCGGAGUACUGAAGGCCUGUGCUGGUGUGUUCACGGGUAUCUUCAACCUCUCACUCCAGCAGUGUGUGGAACCCACCUGCUUCAUUUGUACUGGCGCCCAAGGAGAUUGUGGUAACCUGUUUAAAUGAUUAUCACCCAGUGGCACUGACAUCCACGGGGAUGAAGUGCUCUGAGAGGCUGGAGUUGAAACAUCUCAGCUCCUGUCUGACUGACAACUUGAAUUUGUUCCAGUUUGCCUGCCGAAGCAACAGAUCUGUGGCAGAUGCCACAUCAUUGGCUCUUCACACAACCCUGGAACAUCUGGACAGCAAAGACGCUCUUUAUCGAUUACAGCUCAGCAUUUAACACCAUCAUCCCCUCAAAACUAAUCAGUAAGCUCCAAGUUCUUGGUCUCAAUACCAGUUGUGCAAUUGGAUCGUGGAUUUCCUCACUUGUAGAUGUCAGUCAGUUCAGAUUGGCAAAAACAUCUCCUCCACAAUCUCCAUCAGCAAAGGAGCACCACGUGGAUGUGUCCUUAGCCCCCCGCUCUGCUCACUUUACACCUGUGACUGUGUGGAUAAGCACAGUUCCAACACCAUAUACAAGUUUGCUGAUGACACCACUGUUGUGGGCCACAUCAAAGGGGGUGAUGAAUCAGCACACAGGAGGGAGACUGAAAAUUUGGUUGAGUGAUGUAAAAAAACAACCUCUCACUCUAUGUCAGCAAGACCAAAGAACAGAUUGUAGACUUCAGGAGAGGAAACCAGAGGUCUAUGAGCCAGAGGAUCAGAGGUGGGGAGGGUCAGUGACUUUAAAUUCCUGUCAGAGGACCUGUCCUGGACCCAUCAUAUAAAUAUAAUUGUGAAGAAAGUGCACCAGCACCUCUACUUCCUCGGAGUGUGUGGAGAUUCUGCAUCGCACCAAAAACCUUGGCAAACUUGUAUAGAUAUGUGCUGGAAAGCGUGCUGACUGGUGGCGUUAUGCCCUGGUAUGGGAACACCAAUGCCAACAGUCGCAGAACCACAUUUGAAAGAAAAGGAAGGUGUAAAAGAAACGAAGAAGUUUUGUGAACCAUCUGUGAGACGCCACCUUUGGUUGCUUUGUUCGCUGGCGCCAUCUUCUUCCAUUCUGCGGAAAUUCGAGCAACUAAAAGAUGGAGAGAACCCCUAAUCACCUCCAUGUCUAAUGCACAGUGUCAGAGACAUGUCGACCGGAGUCCAGAGCAAUGUUUGCCUCAGCCUACCCUUGUGACCCCAUCUUCACAGAAGCUAGGCUUCAAUCCAUUCUGAGGAAAGAUCAUAGAUCUGAAACAUUAACUGUUUCACUCUCCACAGGCGCUGCCUGACCUAUUGAGUGUUUUCUGUUUUUAUUUCAGAUUUCCAGCAUCUGCAGUUUUUUUUUAGUUUGUUGACUUAGUCCAUGUUAUCACAGAGGCCCGCCACUGGUUGGGGUUGCCUAGCUGUCUAUAUGAUAUGCAAGCCAGGGCAGUACGAUACGGAGAGCAAAGCUGUUGCCCACUAACAGGCUCCCCUCUCCACGGAGCUGAUGAAUCCAGACAAACGGGCAGAGAACCAUACAGUUUGGCACCAGCGGGUUGCAGGAGUUGCCAGUCAGUGUUGAACUUAUUUUAGGACUGCCUUGGUGACUCCAGCUCUGGAUUUUUCCUAAGGGUUUACUCCCGAAUCCUUCCCCAUGAGUUGGCAGUGGAGAAUUGAGAUCAGAGUCUUCCUUCUCCUAGGUGAGCUGCCAACCACAGCUGGUGGGCCCCAUCUGCCUGAAGCGACUGGUUUUAAGGCAUCAGUAACAUGCCUUUGCCCCUUCUCGUCUCGGCAGAAACUGUUCCACCAGGCUUAGUACUGGGCCGAGUCCACUACCUUUUGUAGGUGUGGAAGUUUGUAGCAUAAUUGACCAACGUUGCUAUUGCAAUUGGAAUCCAGUAACUAAUGAUGUGCACAGGGAUCUUCACUGUGUCUUUUACUAAUUGUUAUAUUUAUUAAUGAUCUGAAUAUGAAUGUAGGAGGUUUUGUUUUGAAGUUUGCAGAUGAUAUGAAAGUUGGUGGUGUUGACAUUGAGGAGGGUUACAGAGCAGUUGGCAGAGGGGGCACAAGCCACCAAAAGCAUCUCGCCAGAGUCCUCUGUCCUGGGUCAGACUUUCAAGUUGCCCUCUGCUGUAGCCCAUCUUCCUGGUGCCAGCUGGGCAAAUUAUCUUCCUCUCCCAGGGAUAAGGUCUUUUGGAGCUUUUGUUUACGUUUCUACAGCUCUGGGUUUUACAGGUUGGGGUUGGGAGCCCCGUGCCCAACCCUCCUCCCGACAAAACAGACUUCCAAUUACUGAAUGUGGGAUCUGAGACUUCUGAGUGACAUUCAGCCUGACAUCACCUUGCCAAGCCCAUCCAUCUCACUGAAAGGCAUUAUCUCACCUGCUGAGUGUUUAAAAGAUGCCAUUGUAGGUGUUGCAUUGAGUAUUGUGGAGCGUAUCAGGGUUGCAGUGAAGAUCCUUGGCAAGCGUUGCCCCACUACAUGAGCUGCAGUGCCCCGCAAUGCCUGCCGAUCGACUGGAUCAGCGUUGUACAGGAGAGGAAGGCGAGGAAGAUUCUGCAACUCACUUUCACACCAGGUUCAAUUUGCCUAUUAACCUGCCAGUGCACGCAGCUUUGGAAAAUGGGAGGAAUCCGUAGCACACGAGGAAACCUACCUACACGGUCA